GGCGUGGUAGCUCAGCUGGUUAGAGCACUGGAUUCAUAACCCAGAGGUCAGCAGUUCAAGUCUGCUUCACGCUACUA
rnacentral:tRNA from 1 species